GUAUCCAAAAGUGUAUAGAUCUUCUAUGGCUUUAUUUUUCUGGCAUUGUUUUUGGGACACCCUGUACAUUCUAAAAACACUGUACAGCUUCAAGGA